rnacentral:lncRNA from 1 species
GGGUCCGGAACGCGGUCGGAGCCUACAGUUAUUUUUGUCCCGUUCGGCCGCGCUGACGCUCUUUCACGAGGCCAUCGCGGACGUUUCCUUGUGAGCUCGGUUUAAGGAAAUGUUUGCGCACGGAGCACUUUCCCACAGCUGUGGGACAAUGCACCAUCCUCUGCCAAGGAUCACUUUUGCCAUCCUCGUCUUUCCUGUAGCUGGAGGUGGGCCUGGAGGCCAGCCAGGCCCGCGCUGCCAAGUCGCCUCCGUUGAUUAUUAUCUGGAUGCGUUUGAUUCAUAUCUGACGGAGCGAGAGGCUGUGCGUGGCCGGCAGGAGAUGCCCGUGUCCAGAGGCCCGCUGUGCCGGCAGGGUCCCGGGGCGCAGGGGGUCGUGGCCGGGCCUGGGCCGGGUGGCGUGAGUGUCUGUGCUGGGCUAGGCCGGGGCCGUGUGAACCGGCCUCCAGGCUCUGCUCCCGGCUCUUUGAAGCCCUUCCAGGUGGCCCGGCUCGGGACACCCCCUGAGGACUUUCACAUUUCCAGUUCAUCCAGAUCCACCAGGCAAAGUCAAACUGUCCAGUUCCCCCGGGGCCUCUGGCCCAGCCGCCCAGGGAGGCCUCCGUGGGAAGGCGCCUCUGGACGAGUCUCUGAGCCCGACCGAGCUUCCUGCCUCCAGUGGGGCCGGGCCUCCCUCUCACGGUCUUCCCACUCGGGGCCACGCAGAGGCUGCAGCUCCCAGGCCAGCCCUCGCCCACCGAGUGGCCAGGGCGGGGACAGUGGCCGCGUCUGGCUAUGUAGGGGCCCGGCCACAGUAAGGCUGUGGGCGUCCACCCCUGAGAAGCCGCAGACGAGCUGA